rnacentral:rRNA from 1 species
GAUGAACGCUGGCGGCGUGCCUAAUACAUGCAAGUCGAGCGAACAGACGAGGAGCUUGCUCCUCUGACGUUAGCGGCGGACGGGUGAGUAACACGUGGAUAACCUACUUAUAAGACUGGGAUAACUUCGGGAAACCGGAGCUAAUACCGGAUAAUAUAUUGAACCGCAUGGUUCAAUAGUGAAAGACGGCUUUGCUGUCUCUUAUAGAUGGAUCCGCGCCGCAUUAGCUAGUUGGUAAGGUAACGGCUUACCAAGGCAACGAUGCGUAGCCGACCUGAGAGGGUGAUCGGCCACACUGGAACUGAGACACGGUCCAGACUCCUACGGGAGGCAGCAGUAGGGAAUCUUCCGCAAUGGGCGAAAGCUUGACGGAGCAACGCCGCGUGAGUGAUGAAGGUCUUCGGAUCGUAAAACUCUGUUAUUAGGGAAGAACAAAUGUGUAAGUAACUAUGCACGUCUUGACGGUACCUAAUCAGAAAGCCACGGCUAACUACGUG